AUAGGGCGAUCUGGCUGCGACUUCUGUCACCCCAUUGAUCGCCAGGGUUGAUUCGGCUGAUCUGGCUGGCUAGGCGGGUGUCCCCUUCCUCCCUCACUGCUCCAUGUGUGUCCAUCCCCAAGCUGCGCGCUCGUUCGAAGAGGACGACCUUCCCGGAUAGAGGAGAGGACCAUUCUUCAGUCAAGGGUAUACAAGUAGCUGCACUCCCCUGCUAGAACCUCCAAACAAGCUCUAUAAACAAAUAAAUAAAAUUCUUAAAAAACAGAUAUUAAGAUAAAAAUUUAAAAAAAGAAAACAUGGUAUAUAUACACAAUGCAUGGGACGCCUGGGUGGCUCAGUUGAUUGGACGACUGCCUUCGG
rnacentral:snRNA from 1 species